rnacentral:rRNA from 1 species
GACGAACGCUGGCGGCGUGCCUAAUACAUGCAAGUUGAACGCUUCUUUCCUCCCGAGUGCUUGCACUCGAUUGGAAAGAGGAGUGGCGGACGGGUGAGUAACACGUGGGUAACCUACCCAUCAGAGGGGGAUAACACUUGGAAACAGGUGUUAAUACCGCAUAACAGUUUAUGCCGCAUGGCAUAAGAGUGAAAGGCGCUUUCCGGUGUCUCUGAUGGAUGGACCCCCGGUGCAUUAGCUAGUUGGCGAGGUAACGGCUCACCAAGGCCACGAUGGAUAGCCGACCUGAGGGGGUGAUCGGCCACACUGGGACUGAGACGCUGCCCAGACUCCUGCGGGAGGCAGCAGUAGGGAAUCUUCGGGAAUGGACUAUAGUCUGAGCGAGCAACGUCGCGUGAGUCAAGAAGGGUUUCUGAUCGUUAAAACUCUGUUGUUAGGGAGCACCACGGAUGGUGGUAACUGAACUUCCCCUGACGGUUUCUAACCAGAAAGCCACGGCUAACUACGUGCCAGCAGCCGCGGUAAUAGUAGGUGGGCAGCGUUGUUCCGGAUUUAUUGGGCGUAAAGCGAGCGCAGCCGGUUUCUUAAGUCUGAUGUGAAGCCCCCGGGCUCAACCGGGGAGGGUCAUUGGAAACUGGGAGACUUGAGUGCAGAAGAGGAGAGUGGAAUUCCAUGUGUAGCGGUGAAAUGCGUAGACAUAUGGAGGAACACCAGUGGCGAAGGCGGCUCUCUGGUCUGUAACUGACGCUGAGGCUCGAAAGCGUGGGGAGCAAACAGGAUUAGAUACCCUGGUAGUCCACGCCGUAAACGAUGAGUGCUAAGUGUUGGAGGGUUUCCGCCCUUCAGUGCUGCAGCAAACGCAUUAAGCACUCCGCCUGGGGAGUACGACCGCAAGGUUGAAACUCAAAGGAAUUGACGGGGGCCCGCACAAGCGGUGGAGCAUGUGGUUUAAUUCGAAGCAACGCGAAGAACCUUACCAGGUCUUGACAUCCUUUGACCACUCUAGAGAUAGAGCUUUCCCUUCGGGGACAAAGUGACAGGUGGUGCAUGGUUGUCGUCAGCUCGUGUCGUGAGAUGUUGGGUUAAGUCCCGCAACGAGCGCAACCCUUAUUGUUAGUUGCCAUCAUUUAGUUGGGCACUCUAGCGAGACUGCCGGUGACAAACCGGAGGAAGGUGGGGAUGACGUCAAAUCAUCAUGCCCCUUAUGACCUGGGCUACACACGUGCUACAAUGGGAAGUACAACGAGUCGCUAGACCGCGAGGUCAUGCAAAUCUCUUAAAGCUUCUCUCAGUUCGGAUUGCAGGCUGCAACUCGCCUGCAUGAAGCCGGAAUCGCUAGUAAUCGCGGAUCAGCACGCCGCGGUGAAUACGUUCCCGGGCCU